CUAUGCAAAGCCGCCAUAUUCAGUAAGACACAUGUUAAGCGGCAACUAAUUUUAAGGCCCUUAUUUCUAACAACAACUUUUUAUCCUCUUAUCUCAGAUGAGCAACUGGCAGGGAAAAAACAAUCAGGAAAAGGGAUAAAGAUAAGACACAGGAUCCCAGCCCAGCCUAGCCAGACUAUGAGUCUCUGCUUCACCUGAUCAUCACUAGGACUGCACAGCUCAAACACAAGGGACUUCACGUGCUGGCCCAGUUUCCGCUUUGACACACGGCUCACAAUCUCUGUCAUCCUGAAAUCAAGGAACAUGAGACUUAAGAAAGAAGAAAACAAACACAGAAGGAAAGGUCCCAUACCUGGUGAUACCCUGGAGCUAGAGGUGCAGAGAAGCUGAAGAAAGGCAGAGCCAAGUUGAUAAAACUGUUUUUAAAAGAA